rnacentral:rRNA from 1 species
UGGGGAAUCUUCCGCAAUGGGCGCAAGCCUGACGUAGCAACGCCGCGUGAGUGAAGAAGGCCUUCGGGUCGUAAAGCUCUGUCUUCAGGGAAGAACAACUAUAGUGUAAAUAAUGCUAUAGCCUGACGGUACCUGAGGAGGAAGCUCCGGCUAACUACGUGCCAGCAGCCGCGGUAAUACGUAGGGAGCAAGCGUUGUCCGGAAUUACUGGGCGUAAAGGGCGUGUAGGCGGGAAUUUAAGUAAGGUGUGAAAACUCCGGGCUCAACUUGGAGACUGCACUUUAAACUGGAUUUCUUGAGGGCAGGAGAGGAAAGUGGAAUUCCUAGUGUAGCGGUGAAAUGCGUAGAUAUUAGGAGGAACACCAGUGGCGAAGGCGACUUUCUGGACUGUACCUGACGCUGAGGCGCGAAAGCGUGGGGAGCGAACA